UGACCUCACUGCUUUUGAGGGGGCAGGGUGUCACAGGUCUCUGGGAGAGGGCUAGUGGUGAGCUUAGUCAGGGAGAGCUUUGUUCUCAGAGUAAAGUAGCCUGCUUUCCCUUGGUGCCAACACGACUGCUGAGACACAUGUUCCAACUCCCUGAGAUGCAGCUUUUUCAUUAGUUCUGGCAAUUCCUACUGGAGUUUUAUGAUCUCAGGGUGACCAGAAACCGGUAUUUGUCAAAAGUCCUUUUCGUGAAUCUUCUGGAAGCUGGACCAUAUUUUUGCAACAGCAUCAGAACAACAAAGACCUGAUAAGAGUACAUUAGAAUGCAGUCGAGAAGAAAAUUUGAUUAUUUUUUGUAACACACAGCAUUUUAACAAUUCGAAUGUUGAGUGAACAAUUCAAGUGAUGACACUCAAGUGAACAGUUUGAGGGAUGGCACUGUACCAGGACAUGUUACAACUUUAGGAAUUUCAUUUCGUUUUUUGGAACACCAAUAACAUUCAUGCACCCAAUAGAAUCUAAGAGGGCUUAUUAUUAUUUGUUUGACAACGCUUCUCAUGUGACUUCACAUAGCAGAUAAACUACAUAUAUUAGUCAAGAGACUCUAUUUAGGGUUUGACUUUCUGGGAAUCUGUUGAAAAUCGAUGAACAAAUGAAUUAACAAGCAAACAGGCAGCCAGCCAGCCAGCCAGCCAAACCAAUCAACCAACCAACCAACCAACCAACCAACCAACCAACCAACCAACCAACCAAUAUCUCACAAGGUUUCAAGGCAUGUGCCUGCAAAGGAUCACAGGUCAUUACAAAACUGAAAACUUCAGUAUCUGUUUCGCCAAGGUGGCCCUAGGAGAUUCUACAGGUAAUAGAGUGGUCACCAAAAUGUAGCUCCUUUAAUAUUGAGAAGUUUUCACUCUCUUAUGUAGAACAGGGCUGGUGUCGUGCAAAGAUACCAAAAGCUGCAGCAACAAAUCAACCCAAGGAAGACCGGAGUAUCUCCCCGAGCGAGCUGAGCGCUGGUUCCUCCCCCAAAGUCGGGACUUUCCUGAUGGAACCAGAGGGCUUUCCAGGUUCUGGUCCCUUGGCUGGCCUCAUCGCCAGCUUUCUGUAAUUGUAGACAGCAUUCAGGCAUGUGCAAAGAACCCCAUUCACCCCAUUGGGCCAUCUGAGCCUCAGGCUAACCUUCCACAUGACCUAGCAUCAUGCAAGAGGACCUGGAGACCCUGCUGGCCUUGGAAAGGGCUGAUAUCAUAGCUCAAUACCAUCAGGGAGAAGGAGCUGCCUGGCCCCAGCCCCCAUGAGGCCAAGAAACAUCGCCAGGAGACCUGACAAGUGGUUAACAAUGCUCAGGAAAUGAGGCCACUACCACCACAGUGAGAAGGUGGGGCGCUGGGUGCCCCCGAGGGCACUGUGUCCACUGGAGAGUCCCCCGCCUGGGGAGAGUCUGCUGCUGGAGCCGAAGCCUCCCCAGGCCCAAGGAUGGCAGUGGAAGGAGUGUCAGGUCAGGGCCACCGCCCCUGCUCCUUGUGGGUGAUGGGGCCCAGUUCUAGGGAGACCCAGCCUCUCCAGAGACACCGUGGAGCUGAAGCCGGAAUCUUCUAGAUACCUCUUGCUCCCUGAGCUCCAAGGGGCCACCCUGGGCCCAUCUCACCAGCAUUGCCUUCCCUCCUACAGCUGCAUCACUGGGUCUAUAAGGGGGUUCCACCUCAGGUGUGGAGACAGGUGUGGUUGCAUUUGCUGGAGAUUGAGAAGGUUAAAGCCAGGAACCCAGGGAAAUACCAAGUAGGGCCCUUCCACUCCCGGCAGACACAUGGCCCACAGGGAAGGCCUGGACAGGAGCAGAGGGGAACCUGGGGGGAGGGGGGAGGUCAGCUGCCUGGGGACCCAGGGUGGCCCCAGCAUCUCCUGGUGCCUCUCUGACCCAAGUGCCCCGCCCACCUCUCUGCUGCCCCCACCUCAGUCCCACUGUCCCUGGAGCAGAGUAGGCCCAGGUCCAGAAAGGGACAGGGUUGCAGGGCUCUGAGCUCCUCCUGGGCAGGGUCAGCAUCGGGGUGAUGGGAGCUGGCCCUCUGGACAGGCCUGGAGCCCUGAGUGGGGCCAAGCAGGUGGGCUGGGGCCAGAUUCCUGCU